UCGGUUGAUUCCUGCCGGAGGCCACUGCUAUGGGGGUCCGACUAAGCCAUGCGAGUCAAGGGGGCGUCCCUUCUGGGACGCCACCGGCGGACGGCUCAGUAACACGUCGGUAACCUACCCUCGGGAGGGGGAUAACCCCGGGAAACUGGGGCUAAUCCCCCAUAGGCCUGGGGUACUGGAAGGUCCCCAGGCCGAAAGGGAGCCGUAAGGCUCCGCCCGAGGAUGGGCCGGCGGCCGAUUAGGUAGUUGGUGGGGUAACGGCCCACCAAGCCGAAGAUCGGUACGGGCCGUGAGAGCGGGAGCCCGGAGAUGGACACUGAGACACGGGUCCAGGCCCUACGGGGCGCAGCAGGCGCGAAACCUCCGCAAUGCGGGAAACCGCGACGGGGGGACCCCCAGUGCCGUGCCUCUGGCACGGCUUUUCCGGAGUGUAAAAAGCUCCGGGAAUAAGGGCUGGGCAAGGCCGGUGGCAGCCGCCGCGGUAAUACCGGCGGCCCGAGUGGUGGCCACUAUUAUUGGGCCUAAAGCGGCCGUAGCCGGGCCCGUAAGUCCCUGGCGAAAUCCCACGGCUCAACCGUGGGGCUCGCUGGGGAUACUGCGGGCCUUGGGACCGGGAGAGGCCGGGGGUACCCCCGGGGUAGGGGUGAAAUCCUAUAAUCCCGGGGGGACCGCCAGUGGCGAAGGCGCCCGGCUGGAACGGGUCCGACGGUGAGGGCCGAAGGCCAGGGGAGCGAACCGGAUUAGAUACCCGGGUAGUCCUGGCUGUAAAGGAUGCGGGCUAGGUGUCGGGCGAGCUUCGAGCUCGCCCGGUGCCGUAGGGAAGCCGUUAAGCCCGCCGCCUGGGGAGUACGGCCGCAAGGCUGAAACUUAAAGGAAUUGGCGGGGGAGCACUACAAGGGGUGGAGCGUGCGGUUUAAUUGGAUUCAACGCCGGGAACCUCACCGGGGGCGACGGCAGGAUGAAGGCCAGGCUGAAGGUCUUGCCGGACGCGCCGAGAGGAGGUGCAUGGCCGCCGUCAGCUCGUACCGUGAGGCGUCCACUUAAGUGUGGUAACGAGCGAGACCCGCGCCCCCAGUUGCCAGUCCCUCCCGCUCGGGAGGGAGGCACUCUGGGGGGACUGCCGGCGAUAAGCCGGAGGAAGGGGCGGGCGACGGUAGGUCAGUAUGCCCCGAAACCCCCGGGCUACACGCGCGCUACAAUGGGCGGGACAAUGGGACCCGACCCCGAAAGGGGAAGGGAAUCCCCUAAACCCGCCCUCAGUUCGGAUCGCGGGCUGCAACUCGCCCGCGUGAAGCUGGAAUCCCUAGUACCCGCGCGUCAUCAUCGCGCGGCGAAUACGUCCCUGCUCCUUGCACACACCGCCCGUCACUCCACCCGAGCGGGGUCCGGGUGAGGCCCAGUCUCCUUCGGGAGGCUGGGUCGAG
rnacentral:rRNA from 1 species